GACGGAGGGUGCAAGCGUUGUUCGGAAUUACUGGGCGUAAAGGGCGGGCAGGUGGUCUGUUAAGUCGUCUGUGAAAAUCCGGGGCUCAACCCCGUGAAAUGCAGGCGAAACUGGCAGACUGGAGACCAGUAGAGGCUAGCGGAAUUCCUGGUGUAGCGGUGGAAUGCGUAGAUAUCAGGAAGAACACCUGUGGCGAAGGCGGCUAGCUGGGCUGGAUCUGACACUCAUCCGCGAAAGCGUGGGGAGCAAACAGG
rnacentral:rRNA from 1 species